ACAUGCCUACAACAUAGCAUUAAUGCAUUGGAUCCCAUUAGAACUCUACAUUUAAGCACACUCAGGCUAGAGUAGUACUGGGAUGGGUGAUCGCUCGGGAAUUCCUAGUGUUUUACAUGAC
rfam:Picea glauca, whole genome shotgun sequence.